AGUCCAGUGAGGAAUAACUGUAGAUAAGAUGAGAUGAUGGGCAUUAAGUGUAACUGCUGAGAAGGCUUCAUAAAGGGAAAGGUGAUAAGAACUGAGUUUUUCUGGCAUGAGGAGUUUACCAGGCAGGAGAGGUGGAGACGCUAGGCUAGGCAAAUAGGCUGCAGCCAUAGUUCUGCUGAGAAACAGGUUUUGAACCAAGGCAACUCCAUCUGGAGAUAUGUAUCAGAAAGAUUAGGAGAUAGAAUCUCCAUCUUGGUCACUUAUUUGGUCUUCUAAGACAGAAAUGGGACCGUCUCUUAAAUACUGGAGUUGUCCUAUCUCCUUGGGCUGAUACCCUGAACUGUCAUUUGGCGCGUGAGGCGGGCAGCGCGGUUGAGGCCGAAGAGCUGGUAAAGGGCAGCCCGGCGUGGGAGCCGCGUGCCAACGACACGCGGGAAGAAGCCGGCCCACCAGCGGCUGGGGAAGAUGAGGCGUCGUGGACGGCGCCCGGUGGCGAGCUGGCCGGGCCAGAAGAGGUGCUGCAGGAGUCGGCUGCGGUGACCGGCACCGCCUGGCUGGAGGCUGACAGCCCAGGCCUGGGAGGAGUGACCGCA
rnacentral:sRNA from 1 species